CUGCCAAUCAAGUCCAGGUGCUUGUGCUUCGUGCCACGCAGCUGUUUUUAAAUUCUUGGCAAGAUAACAGCCAGGGUACGAGCCCUGACAUCUACCUGUGGUGUCUGCGGUCCCUAAGAAUGGCUACACAA